rnacentral:rRNA from 1 species
GAUGAACGCUGGCGGCGUGCCUAAUACAUGCCAGUCGAACGAACAGACCAUGAGCUUGCUCCUCUCACGUUAGCGGCGGACGGGUGAGUAACACGUGGAUAACCUACCUAUAAUACUGGGAUAACUUCGGGAAACCGGCGCUAAUCCGGUAUAAUCUAUUGAACCGCAUGGUGCAAUAGUAAAAGACGGUUUUUCUGUCACUACUAGAGGCAUAUGGGCGGCAUUAGCUAGUUGGUAAGGUAACGGCUUAGCACGGCGACGAUGCGUAGCCGACGGGACAGAGUGAUCGCCCACAUUGGAGCUGAACCACGGUCAUGAGGCCUACGGGAGGCAGCAGUGGCGAAUGUUCCGCAAUGUGGGAAAGUCUUACGGAGCGACGCCGCGUGAGUGAUGAAGGUCUUCGGAUCGUAAAACUCUGUUAUUAGGGAAGAACAAAUGUGUAAGGAACUAAGCACGUCGUGACGGUAACUAAUCAGAAAGCCACGGCUAACUACGUG